rnacentral:lncRNA from 1 species
UGGGUCUGUCGUUGUUUUUCUGGAGUCUAGACAGGGUGGUGCUUCCUCCCUCUUUCUGCUGGCUGGUGACCGUCCCUUUUCAUGCUUGCUGCCUUCUUCCCCACCUCCUCCCAAAUGAGCUUUCCUUGUUGACUCCCACCACAGACUUUUCCUUCUCUUAUGAGAAACGUUAGAAAAGAAAAACUGCCAGAGAGAAUUCACAUCACUGCAGACAGAGAGUAUCAAAUGGCAAAGAAAUGUACCUGACAACUUUUCAGAAAUUUUAAGACUAUUAAAAGAAGAUCAGUUUGGAGUCUUACUGCAAAGU